rnacentral:snoRNA from 1 species
UCCUUCCUGAUUUCUUACCCCUGCGAUCUACACAUUGGUCUGAGUGGCUAAAAAAGGAGGAAAAGUAGGGCCGACGUGAAGUUGGAGUAUUUAGUGAUAUACAAGGUCAUUUCAAACACAU